GGCCAAUGAUGAGUCUUGGCAUGUAUUACCUGAUUCUAAAGUUGAUGAUUAUUGCUUUAGCUCUAGAAUUACUCUGAGACCUG
ensembl:snoRNA small nucleolar RNA SNORD45